rnacentral:tRNA from 1 species
GGUAAGAUGGCCGAGCGGUCUAAGGCGCUACGUUCAGGUUUCAGAUUCUGAAUAUCUCAUCGUAGUCUCGUAAGGGGCGUGAGUUCGAAUCUCACUCUUAUCA